GUCCCAGUCCCACCUGACCCCAUGCCGAACUCAGAAGUGAAACGCCGUAGCGCCGAUGGUAGUGUGGGGUCUCCCCAUGCGAGAGUAGGGAACUGCCAGGC
rnacentral:rRNA from 1 species